GAUGAACGCUGGCGGCGUGCUUAACACAUGCAAGUCGAACGGAAAGGCUCCUGCUUGCAGGGGUACUCGAGUGGCGAACGGGUGAGUAACACGUGGGUGAUCUGCCCUGCACUUCGGGAUAAGCCUGGGAAACUGGGUCUAAUACCGGAUAGGACGAUGGUUUGGAUGCCAUUGUGGAAAGUUUUUUCGGUGUGGGAUGAGCUCGCGGCCUAUCAGCUUGUUGGUGGGUAAUGGCCUACCAAGGCGUCGACGGGUAGCCGGCCUGAGAGGGUGUACGGCCACAUUGGGACUGAGAUACGGCCCAGACUCCUACGGGAGGCAGCAGUGGGGAAUAUUGCACAAUGGGCGCAAGCCUGAUGCAGCGACGCCGCGUGGGGGAUGACGGCCUUCGGGUUGUAAACUCCUUUCGCUAGGGACGAAGCGCAAGUGACGGUACCUGGAGAAGAAGCACCGGCUAACUACGUG
rnacentral:rRNA from 1 species